GACGAACGCUGGCGGCGUGCUUAACACAUGCAAGUCGAACGAAGAGCGAUGGAAGCUUGCUUCUAUCAAUCUUAGUGGCGAACGGGUGAGUAACGCGUAAUCAACCUGCCCUUCAGAGGGGGACAACAGUUGGAAACGACUGCUAAUACCGCAUACGAUCUAAUCUCGGCAUCGAGGAUAGAUGAAAGGUGGCCUCUACAUGUAAGCUAUCACUGAAGGAGGGGAUUGCGUCUGAUUAGCUAGUUGGAGGGGUAACGGCCCACCAAGGCGAUGAUCAGUAGCCGGUCUGAGAGGAUGAACGGCCACAUUGGGACUGAGACACGGCCCAGACUCCUACGGGAGGCAGCAGUGGGGAAUCCUCCGCAAUGGACGAAAGUCUGACGGAGCAACGCCGCGUGAGUGAUGACGGCCUUCGGGUUGUAAAGCUCUGUUAAUCGGGACGAAAGGCCUUCUUGCGAAUAGUGAGAAGGAUUGACGGUACCGGAAUAGAAAGCCACGGCUAACUACGUG
rnacentral:rRNA from 1 species